AACGAACGCUGGCGGCAUGCCUAACACAUGCAAGUCGAACGAGACCUUCGGGUCUAGUGGCGCACGGGUGCGUAACGCGUGGGAACCUGCCCUUAGGUUCGGAAUACCUCCCCGAAAGGGGUGCUAAUACCGGAUAAUGUCUUCGGACCAAAGAUUUAUCGCCUUUGGAUGGGCCCGCGUUGGAUUAGCUAGUUGGUAGGGUAAAAGCCUACCAAGGCGACGAUCCAUAGCUGGGCUGAGAGGAUGAUCAGCCACACUGGGACUGAGACACGGCCCAGACUCCUACGGGAGGCAGCAGUGGGGAAUAUUGGACAAUGGGCGAAAGCCUGAUCCAGCAAUGCCGCGUGAGUGAUGAAGGCCUUAGGGUUGUAAAGCUCUUUUACCCGGGCUGAUAAUGACAGUACCGGGAGAAUAAGCUCCGGCUAACUCCGUG
rnacentral:rRNA from 1 species